rnacentral:rRNA from 1 species
GAUGAACGCUGGCGGCGUGCCUAAUACAUGCAAGUCGAGCGAAUGGAUUAAGAGCUUGCUCUUAUGAAGUUAGCGGCGGACGGGUGAGUAACACGUGGGUAACCUGCCCAUGAGACUGGGAUAACUUCGGGAAACCGGGGCUAAUACCGGAUAAUAUUUUGAACUGCAUGGUUCAAAAUUGAAAGGCGGCUUCGGCUGUCACUUAUGGAUGGACCCGCGUCGCAUUAGCUAGUUGGUGAGGUAACGGCUCACCAAGGCAACGAUGCGUAGCCGACCUGGGAGGGUGAUCGGCCACACUGGGACUGAGACACGGCCCAGACUCCUACGGGAGGCAGUAGUAGGGAAUCUUCCGCAAUGGACGAAAGUCUGACGGAGCAACGCCGCGUGAGUGAUGAAGGCUUUCGGGUCGUAAAACUCUGUUGUUAGGGAAGAACAAGUGCUAGUUGAAUAAGCUGGCACCUUGACGGUACCUAACCAGAAAGCCACGGCUAACUACGUGCCAGCAGCCGCCGUAA